rnacentral:rRNA from 1 species
UACAGAGGUCCCAAGCGUUGUUCGGAUUCAUUGGGCGUAAAGGGCGCGUAGGCGGCCACCGCAAGUCGGUUGUGAAAUCUCCGGGCUUAACCCGGAAAGGUCAAUCGAUACUGCGGGGCUAGAGUGCAGAAGGGGCAACUGGAAUUCUCGGUGUAGCGGUGAAAUGCGUAGAUAUCGAGAGGAACACCUGCGGCGAAGGCGGGUUGCUGGGCUGACACUGACGCUGAAGCGCGAAAGCUAGGGGAGCGAACGGG